AUAUAUCAACCUUCUCUUGUGGAAUGGUUUGGAUGUGGGGGUUUGCUGGUCUCAUAUAUAUAUAUAUGGGUUCAGCUCUCCUGAAAUGCAUUAGCAGAACGACCUGUUCAUUGGUGUGAUAACUAUCUACGCUAUUGAAUGUGAGGGGCAGUUCAGCUUUCCAACAGUCCUUUUGGACAACUCAUCAUUA
rnacentral:misc_RNA from 1 species